AUACGUACUUCCGAAGCAGUUAUAUGUGUGAUAGCUUCCCAGAUCGCUAAUUUUGGUGAGAGCAUAAUAGGUGCUUCACUCCAAGGCAAGGAAGGAUUUCAAUGGGUAGGCAAUGAUAUAAAUGUUUACUUCACAUAUGCAUCAGCCACAUCUGUUCUCAGCUAUUUUCAUCAAUUUGAAGUAAAGGAGAGUUUCGGGCUUGAUUGGCCAGAAUGUUAGUUAGAGCAUUGAUCAACCUUGAUCUUUGAUUACUUAAUCAUCUUAUCAUCUGUUUAGCCUUGGAACAACUCAAUUGAUAUGCCGUCAUUAUGCAUGGAACAUAUUCUACCCACAGAGUGCUGAACAAUUCAAGGGGGUUGAGAUAUGCCUUGUUUGGAAAUGACUUAAAUGAGUACCUGCAUGGAUCCUCCACUAGAAAAUCAGUACAUUUAGAAAAGAAAUUUCAAGAUCUCAUAUUUACAGAAUAAUGGAUAAUUGUCCAUAGCAGGCCAUGAUGCCAAUUUUCUGAACUCCAUGUUGCAUCAUCUCAACCUCUGUGUGUAGGCUGAGCUGAAUUUAUGGGUUUAGGAUAUGGGCCAUCAUUCUAGGAAGAUGCUUCUUAACAUGUUUUACGUUAUAAUAAACUAUGUAUCUUACGUAUGUUUUUGCCCUGUUUUGCAGCUUAACAAUGAUGUUGUCAAUGUCCUUAACAUAUCUAUGGGGAGCAUUUUAGCAGUCCUGAUGAAGCAAGUUAUGCUCCAGAACUUUGCACUCGUAAAUCCAUAAUUUAACAUUAUCAAGCUGUACAUACGUUUCAU
rnacentral:misc_RNA from 1 species